GCCCGGCUAGCUCAAUCGGUAGAGCGUGAGACUCUUAACACCCCUGGCUCCCUCCAGACCCAGGCUCUUGAAUCUCAAGGCUGUGGGUUCGACCCCCACGUCGGGCU